GAUGAACGCUGGCGGCGUGCCUAAUACAUGCAAGUCGAGCGAAUGGAUUAAGAGCUUGCUCUUAUGAUGUUAGCGGCGGACGGGUGAGUAACACGUGGGUAACCUGCCCAUAAGACUGGGAUAACUCCGGGAAACCGGGGCUAAUACCGGAUAACAUUUUUAACCGCAUGGUUCGAAAUUGACAGGCGGCUUCGGCUGUAACUUAUGGAUGGACCCGGGUAGCAUUAGCUAGGUGGUGAGGUAACGGCUCACCAAGGCAACGAUACGUGGCCGAACUGAGAGGGUGAUCUGCCACACUGGGACUGAGACACGGACCAGACUCCUACGGGAGGCAGCAGUAGGGAAUCUUCCGCAAUGGACGAAAGUCUGACGGAGCAACGCCGCGUGAGUGAUGAAGGCUUUCGGGUCGUAAAACGCUGUUGUUAGGGAAGAACAAGUGCUAGUUGAAUAAGCUGGCACCUUGACGGUACCUAACCAGAAAGCCACGGCUAACUACGUGCCAGCCGCCGCGGUAA
rnacentral:rRNA from 1 species